AAAGUCGUAACAAGGUUUCCGUAGGUGAACCUGCGGAAGGAUCAUUAUCGUUGGGCUUCGGCCCAUUCGAGAUAACACCCUUGCCUUUUUGAGUACCUUUUCGUUUCCUCGGCAGGCUCGCCUGCCAAUGGGGACCCUAAAAAACACUUUGCAGUACCUGUAACAGUCUGAAAAACAAACAAAUAAUUAAAACUUUCAACAACGGAUCUCUUGGUUCUG
rnacentral:misc_RNA from 1 species